GGCCAAGGUUGACGAAGGGUGGCUGGGCCAGUCGCCAUCGCUGGUAUCCUUGCAGCUCGGGGGCUUUGCUCUGCUGUUGGUGUAUUUAAUUAACUGCCUGUUCCCCACCCACCACGUGCACACGGGACACACACACACACACACACACACGGCUCUGGGGCUUAACAGGCCCAAGUCAUUUGAUCGAAACCUGCCCCUGUUAAUAUUUUUAAUGCCAUUUGCAAAUUAAAGCAUAAUGCACCGAUUACUGGGAUAAAAGGGAGGCCUCUGCGUCUGUCUGGAGACCAAAUAAAGGAACGUUUGAACAUCUGUUCAUCCUGCAAAUGUCUCUAAAAGCUUUGAUUUCCCCUCAGUCUGUUGACUCCACCAUUCACCCCUUCCUGAGUAUCCCACAGCCUGGGGCUACAAGGCAGGGUGGUCUGUGGGUGCAGGGGAUGGCAGAUGGCUCUGCAGGGUGCCCUCACCAUGCUAGCCUCCACUUUCUGGGAAGUAUGUGGUUCUCAAACUUGAGGGCAGGGGCUGAGGGACUCCUCGUGUUGGGGUGGAGGAACAAGCCUCCACCUACUCUGAGUUUGGGUCCCUUCCCUGGCCCCGACCUGGGCAGGAACUCUUGGGAUUUCUGAGAUUCCCCUUGGAACACAGCUGGGGAGGGCGGCGGACCUAGUGAAGUCACAGAGAGAGAGACACCAGUAGAGUGGGCUGGGGCCACGGGACAUUUAUUUGUAGCCAUCAAGUGCCUGCCCACCUGG
rnacentral:lncRNA from 10 species